rnacentral:lncRNA from 1 species
AAAACUCAAAAAUCCUUCAAAAGAAAGCCUCUUUAAAAUGUAUCUGCAGAUCAAAAAAUAGUUCCUGAUAUAUGUAAAUUUUCCCGAUUAACCUCAUAAACAAUAAACUACACAUUCGAAUUUACAAAGUUAUUCAUCUCAUCUGCGGUUUAUUUCGAAGAAAAGAUGGAAUUACAGAGUUUUAGAUCUUCACGCAAUUAACACUUAGACAUUUUUCACUCACCAUAAUUUGGAGGAAAUUUUCCGGAGAAAUUUGAAAGAAAAUUAUUAGAGAAAAAAUACAGAGAGAAAAAAAGUGCUCUCACUAUCUUCUUCUUUUUCUCCCACUCUGUGAUACAACAAAAAUAGCCUCUCUGGCCUUUGAACCCAUAUUUUUAUACAACCCCC